CAUGUUUAAGCUUAAAGGUAGAGCAUAUUAAUAUAAGAAGCUAAUAUAAUUGUUGGUUCAAAUCCAUACAAACAUGU
rnacentral:tRNA from 1 species